UGUUCCUGGAGGAGUGGGCUUGUGCUGAAGGGAUACGAGAUGCUGAGCCUCUUGGGCGGUUUGGGCGUGGGUGCGGACAAAGGCGAGCCUUCCACUAGCUGUUUCUCCCUGUUUAGCCUAUCAAUCCACAGCUUCUUCGUCUGUUGCCACAUGCCACAAGCACCUUCAGGGGGUUUUAACAGGAUUGCCUGCUGUAAAGGUGAAAUUGCCAAAGAUUUAAUUUCGAUACCCAAUAUGAAUCAGGAUCGCGCACUUGUGACGUGUAAAUCCCGACGAUGUCCUCAUGAGUGAACGAGCGAUCUGCGAGACCUCGGCAGGCCAAAGCUUGCCAAUCAAGACGCAGACUUGAUAUACUUGCAGGGUUUUUCUGCAACCAAACAUUCAUGAGUUCUGACGUUCUCUACAGAGCUGUCACAACGCAAAGCUUCGGCAUGUCAAAUCGUCGGAGUGAUCUGCUCCUGGGAGUUGGACCAAAUCCACGUAGAAUCGCUGGCAAAUUUGCAAUGUAACCUUGCUUCUCUUUGCUCA
rnacentral:lncRNA from 1 species